GGCGGCUGAUGGGAAGUGUGGACGUGUUUGUCAGGGCUGUACGGGAUUCGGCCCGCUCCUUCGUACCCACCGCCUGAAUUUAUUUUGUGGACGGUUUCUUCUGUUCCCGUGGUAGCGGACAUUACUGGGAGGAAUGAGAGCGAGGAGGAGGAAGACGUUAGUCCUCGGACCCUUUCUAAGAGUCAUCUUGAAGAGUAACGCGAAGAUGGACACGCUGCGGCCUGCCUGGGCAUGCACAUUAGGGCUGUACGGAAUUCCCAAGCCAGGACUCUGUAGGGAGUUCCCACCAAGAAGGAGGCCCUCAUCAGAUAUGACUCCUGGAUUUUGGACGUCCUGUCCUCCAAGACUGAGUCAAAGACUGAGAGACGAAUAAAGCUUAUGGGAUAUUGAAAAGAGUUCCAGUUUGGAAUCUGGAAGGCCUGUUGUUUGAACCUCAGCUGUGCCUGUCAUAUGGCCUUAAGCAAGUAAGUCACUUCAGCUUUCUGAGCCAGAGUUUCUUCACUUGUCAUAUAUGUCUCGUAAUACUACAUACUCACAGGAUCUUUGUGAAGAGUCCUGAGGGAGAAGCGUGUGUGUGUGCACGUGCAUGCACACACACAUAUACUUUCCGCCACGUAUGGUAAGUAUUCAGUAAUUGGAAGCUACAUUACUUACUUUAGAGUUAAUGGGAAUGUUUCACACAUUCUGGCAAUAGGUUCCUUGUCAGUCUUACUUUUCAGGGUUGCUGCAAACUUUUCUCCCCUUCUGGGUCUUCUUAGGUAUUUUUGUCAGAAGCUGGGGGAGGCAGCUUCAAGGACUGUUCAUCAAAAGCCUUCUUAAACUGGAAGCCCGUAAAUAAAAAUAAAAUAAAGACAUGUGAUGAUUUUUUCACCAAUUGUAAUGACGACAACAACAACAACAAAACCCACAAAAGUUUCAUAAAGUGCUCUGUUAGCAAGGCUAUGGGAAACUCUUAUGCAUUGUUGGUGACAAUAUGAUUUGGUACACCCUUUGAAGACAAUUUAGGAAGUCUAGCAAAUUAUGAACGCGUAAAGCCUCUAACCCGGCACUUUCACCUCUGGAAAUUUAUCUCACGGACACACCAGUAUUUAUACACGUUUGAAAUAACAUAUGUGCCAGGUUGUUCACUGCAGCGUUGUUUGUAAUAGCAAAACCAAACGUCUGUCAUUAGAGCGCUCAUUAAAUAAAUUAUACAGCAAAGCUAUGAAAAA